ensembl:lncRNA
GAAGGAGCCAGGAGGGGCCUGGCCAUGUGAUGGCCAAUGUGGCUUACUCUGAGGAUGUGGGGGGGGGGCUAGGCUCGACAAGACACCACUGUUCCAGCUCCCCUUGUCUCUCCCUCCCACCUAUCAGUAGGUCUGAUUUCACUGGAAGCAUCCCUCAGUAUGGUAUGGAUUUCCUGUCUUGCUGAGGCUGUUGCACUCGUCAGGCGAAGGAACUGAGGGUAAGAACCAAGUCUCAAGGAGGGGACAUGACCAUCAAGAAUGCCGGCAGCAGAUGGUAAACCGGACGCACCUGUCUAUCUGGACUCCACCUCCCCUCUCUGAGUACUGCUGAUUUGUGUGAAGCCUGUGUUCCAAUGGUACCCAGCAUAGGAGCCACCCAGGUCACUGGCUUAGCUCUAGCCCACUAGCAAAGUCGGCUGGACUUGUUAACAGGGACCAGACUGUGCGGACCGGGUAGAGGCAGCAGUUCUGGGACUGGAACCCCCGUGGAGUCCUGCAGCUUCCAAAGGUAGAUUAUCUGGGCCCUUCUGAUCCCACCACCCAGGCUGGCCCAGUCUGUGCUGACAACACACACUGGUUUAGUCCCAUGUUGACUAGCUGGGGCUGGGAACUGCAGGGCCUGGCCAAGCCUUGGCCUGCACUGGUGAGGCCAUAUUCAUCUGCCAUCCCCAUCUGCCCAGGAGCAAUCCUUACUGUACCUACUGGAGGGCCCCCGGGGGCUGGGAGCUAUUUCAGCCGCUCCAGCCUCUCUAUAACUGCUAGGAUUCAAAGAGUAGAUUGUGCCAACGUCAACAGAAUGAGAAUGAGAACAAGACAGCCGCGUGGCUCUCUGUCAGGGAGAAUGCCCAAUUAGGAGGGUAGCUGUGGGGGCAGGGAAUGCUGGGUCUAUGACACAGGGAGUUCUUGGGUCUAGGAAGGUUCCACACAGCUUGGGUUUCACAGCACUGCACAGUGAUGACAGUGAGGAGUGACCCAGGAGGUCCACCUGCAGGCAUGCUGGACAUACACAGUGUGCCACCCAGCAACAUCCAAGCCACCAGAAGCAUGCACUGGAAGUCAGGCCUUACCUCGGGUUCUGAGAAGUACGUGUUUAGUGAGUGUAAGUGGAGAUCCACAAGCGCAGAUUCUGAAGGCUCUGCCACAGUCCAGGUAACCCUGAGUUCUAAGACACAAGGUCACCACAUAGAGAUUUGGGGUUGCGUGCUGCAUAUGAUGUGCUAGGUGAGGCCUGGGGACCCCAGUUAUAGGUGCAUUUCAUUCUUUUUUCAGACUGAGUGUGCAGAGGAGGGAUAUGGAUAGCCUGAGUGUGCAGAGUGGGGACAUGGAUAGUGUGAGUGUGCAGAGGAGGGAUAUGGAUAGCCUGAGUGUGCAGAGUGGGGACAUGGAUAGCGUGAGUGUGCAGAGUGGGGACAUGGACAGCCUGAGUGUGCAGAGUGGGGACUUGGACAGCCUGAGUGUGCAGAGUGGGAACAUGGAUAUUGUGAGUGUGCAGAGUGAGGACACGGAUAGUGUGAGUGUACAGAGUGAGGACAUGGAUAUCCUGAGUGUGCAGAGUGGGGACAUGGAGAGCCUGAGUGUGCAGAGUGGGGACAUGGAUAG